CAGGGAGCCAUCUGUAGCCUUCUCUGCGGAGGAGAAACCACAAGUUACACGGUGGGGAGGGGGUCAUGGACAGGCAGACUCAGCCGCGUGCAGCGGCCACGUGAGGCCAGGAGCAUCACCGUCCUAUGAUCACCGAGGAGGCCUCGCGGCUCAGUCUACCAACCGGAUGAGUGGGGACAGCAAUCCGGCGGGCUGGUUUCUGACAUGAAACUACGGAGGCAGUGUUUUAUUUUCGCAAAUAAAAUGCUCCUUCUUGACUUUCUAUUA